CUCUUCCUCUGCCCGCGCGCUCCCCGCCCCCCUUCAGCUGCUGAGCGGAUCGGGCUCCCUUCCCGGCUCGUCUGGGCGGUCGGCUGCGUGGGGGCGUCCAGAUGGAGGCUUGGACACUCACCCUGCCCCGUCACAAACACACACACACACACACACACACACACACACUCCACUUCCGCUACACACACUCCCUCCUCCGCUGCCCUCUUCGCACACCCACUCACACACCUUAUGCUACACACCUCCCUGUUGACAAAGCGCGCCAGCGUGCCGAGCUAGCCAACAGGGUCUCAGGGCGCCAGAGCAGACGCCGAAGCUCUCCGGAGGUUACUUUCUGCGAAAACUCUGUCCUCACCUUCGCCACCUCUCCCUGUCGCCAUGAAACCCCCUGAUCCCCGCAAACAGUCUCUCCAGGGGUGAGUCCUGUCCGCAUCCAAGCCUUACUCCAGAAUGCACACUAGGAGGAACAUUCUCCCUCUACCUCGCCAAGAACCACCUCGGUGUCCUCGGCACGGUCCUGAGUGAAGCAAACAGUGUCCCCAACGAGUUUCGAGCCGCCAUCAUCCUACACGUGUUUCCCUUUGCUAGUUAAAAAGAAAACUGACCCCGGAGAAACAUUGUUUAGUUCCCAAAGCAAUUUUUAAAAACUUUUUUAAAGCGGCGUGUUGUGGGUCACUGGACCCACGGCUCCUACCUCCCAGCGCGCCCCAGCCCGCACCAGAAGCGCUCCGGGCCUGGCAAGGGCCCUUCGGGAAAGAUGGUCCCGGAAUCCCUAUGCCCCGCACGCCGGCGCCUGCCUAGCCGGUGGCCGUUUGUGCCCCCGCCCUUUCCCGCUCCAAAGUCGUGGAAGCCGAGGAAAAAGUGCAGAGGGCAGCCUCGCGGACCCGGCUCGUCCCUUUCCUGUCCCCGACCCUGAACCGCCCCAGUCUGAAGGGGACCCAGGCGGGCAGGAGCCACGGCGCCACGCCGUGGAGGGAGCGUAGCGCUGCAGGCGCUCUCCAGCCGCUCACCUGCCACCGCCGCCGACGCAGCGCGCCAGCUCCCGCCUGGGCUCUAGCUCAAGACGGUCAGGGACCCGGGACAGCCAGAAGUCGCCUCUGCUUGUCUAUCCGAGCACCGCUUCUUUCACUGCCCGCCUGAACAACUGGUCUCCAGGAACCGGCCAUCUCCCUGACUUCAAACGCUCAGAGCUAAUUUGGGAAAGUUUCUUGCUUGCACUGUGCGCUUUUUUCCAAUUGAGGAUGAAAAUUAAAGGAAAAAGGAAAGAAAUCUCAUCGAGGUUAGCACCUUUGUAGGUACCCCCACCCCCAGAAAAACGUGUGAAGUCGCGUUUCUAAGAAAAGGAAAGAAAGCUGCGCUCUUACCACGUGCGCCAGCCCGCUGAGCCUGCGCUCCGGCCGGUCCCGCGGGCCCCUCGCUGACCACCGGCAAGACGACGCCUCGGAGGGGAAACCGACUCGCAUCUCCAGCCUGAGUCCGAAAGAAAGGGGGGUAGCCGGAUUAUGCAAAUGUGGGUCCCGGCAGAGGGGCUCGGGUUACGGCCCCCGCCAGCCCAAGAGGUGAGGCACCCACCGGUGGCAAGCGCGGGCCUGGCAACUGCUCUGGCUUCGCUCCUCUCAGUACACGUGGGCGGGCGCGCGGGCGGCAGCCGAAUUGCCGCGGCCUUCUUACUGCGGGUGCUGCUGACAACCCGGCGGGCUGCCGCCGUGCGCGGCCCCGAGGGGGAGCUCCCGGACACCCAAGUGCCAGGCGAACUAGGCUCUGAGGGCAGGGCGUCUGCUGGGGGUGGCCAGGCAAGGGGGAACCGCGCGGUCUGCCGCUGCCACCUUUCACCGAGGAGGAGGCCAAUGCGGUUAAAGAGGGGGGAGGAGGCCUCACCGAGGAGUAUUGAAAGCAUGUUAGAGUAAAUGGGAGUAACAGACCCUCUGGAAUUCUGAACUUUCCAAGGACUCACACAUCAGGUGACUAGAUAAAAUGGAACCAUGUGGGGGUCCUAAUCCAGUGUAAAAUAUUCUUAGAAGAAGAGAAAAUUUGGACACAGAGAGACACCCAGGAUACCUUUUCAUGAAGGAAAGACCAUGUGAGGAAACAACCAGAGGGUGACCAUAAGUUAGCCAAGGAGAGAUGCCCAGGAGAAACCAGCCUGCCAACACCUUGAUCUUGGACUUCUAACUUCCAGAGUUGUGAGAAAAUAAAUUCCUGUUGCUGAAACCA